UACUUUAGUUUGCCUUAAUGAUAAAAUCUGCCUUGUAAGCGGACGGUCGUCAGUUCAAAUCUGACAAGCGGCUCCA
rnacentral:tRNA from 1 species